rnacentral:tRNA from 1 species
GAGGGUAUAGCUCAAGUGGUAGAGCUCAUGCUUAGCAUGCAUGAGGUCCUGGGUUCAAUCCCCAGUACCUCUU